rnacentral:rRNA from 1 species
GUGCCAGCCGCCGCGGUAACACCGGCAGCUCGAGUGAUGGCCGAUUUUAUUGGGCCUAAAGCGUCCGUAGCCUGCCGUACGGGUGGGUCGGGAAAUCCGCCCGCUCAACGGGCGGACGUCCGGCGGAAACCAUACGGCUUGGGACCAGAGGACCCGAGGGGUACGUCGGGGGUAGGAGUGAAAUCCGGAGAUCCUCGACGGACCGCCGGUGGCGAAAGCGCCUCGGGAAGAUGGAUCCGACGGUCAGGGACGAAAGCUUGGGUCUCGAACCGGAUUAGAAACCCCCGUAGUCC